GAGAUGUUGGGUUAAGUCCCGCAACGAGCGCAACCCACGUAUUUAGUUGCUAACGGUUCGGCCGAGCACUCUAAAUAGACUGCCUUCGUAAGGAGGAGGAAGGUGUGGACGACGUCAAGUCAUCAUGGCCCUUAUGCCCAGGGCGACACACGUGCUACAAUGGCAUAUACAAUGAGACGCAAUACCGCGAGGUGGAGCAAAUCUAUAAAAUAUGUCCCAGUUCGGAUUGUUCUCUGCAACUCGAGAGCAUGAAGCCGGAAUCGCUAGUAAUCGUAGAUCAGCCAUGCUACGGUGAAUACGUUCCCGGGUCUUGUACUCACCGCCCGUCACACCAUGGGAGUUGAUUUCACUCGAAGCCGGAAUACUAAACUAGUUACCGUCCACAGUGGAAUCAGCGACUGGGGUGAAGUCGUAACAAGGUAACCGUAGGAGAACCUGCGGUUGGAUCACCUCCUUU
rnacentral:rRNA from 1 species